rnacentral:rRNA from 1 species
UACGGAGGGGGCUAGCGUUGUUCGGAAUUACUGGGCGUAAAGCGCGCGUAGGCGGAUCUGCAAGUCGGGGGUGAAAUCCCGAGGCUCAACCUCGGAACUGCCUUCGAUACUGCGGGUCUCGAGUCCGGGAGAGGUGAGUGGAAUUCCUAGUGUAGAGGUGAAAUUCGUAGAUAUUCGCAAGAACACCAGUGGCGAAGGCGGACUCACUGGCCCGAUACUGACGCUGAGGUGCGAAAGCGUGGGGAGCAAACAGG